UAAUAUAUGUGAUUUAUAUAUAAUAAACACAAAUAAUUAAAACUCUAUGAUAAUAUUAUAAAAUUUAUAUCACAUCGGGGUGACUGAAGUAUUUUCGCGUAGUACUCUUUUUUGCGUUGGCGGCCUUCGGCCGCGCUCUAAAAAAAUAUCCCUCGUCGAGCGAAUACCCGGGGUGACUGAAGUACUUUCGCGUAGUACUCCCUUCUGUGUUAUACCAUGUUCAGACCGACACUUAAUCACACGAUUUCAGCUGUUCAGUGGUUUAUCCCACUAAAUCUUAUAAAUUUAUCAAGAUUUCGCCAUACAAAAAUGGCAGUUCAAAAUCACUUCAUCGGAGUGAUUUGAAACUGAUCCACGCUAAAUCUCUCUGUGCGACUAUGAUUUUGCGCCAUCUACUUGGCAGCAUUGGAAAUCUAUUACAUUAUCACAGCUGAUUUAGACACUACAAAAAGGAAAAAAUGUAAACAAACAAAUUUUUAUUAGAGCAAUAAAUCUUGAAUAAAGGAGAACAAUUAAUGAGAUAACGAGAAACUGACGAUUAUUUUUAACAGCUUUUCCCAGAAAACUAGUUUUCGCACGUUAGCUCUCUUUUCGUCGACCAGGACACAUAUAAUAUUACUAUAUAAUAUGACUUAUUUGUUUAUUAAAUUAAAUUAAAAACAUAUCCCUAUUAAUGGAUAGAGGAUUUUUUGCGAAAAAAGGAAUUUCAGCGAAUUGCCUUAUCAUCACAUGGCAGCGCUCCAUUUCUUCGUAAUUUUUAGCACACAAAUGAUGUUCACUACUAGUGUAAAAUGUAGUUUUUAAAAUAAAGAUUUCUUAGGUAAAAAAUCUGCUAAAAGUGUAAAAUGUGGAUUUAUUUAAAAGUGUAUAGUUUAAUUUAAUUAAUAUGAAGUGAAAAAUGUGAAUAAAGUGUGUCUAAUGUGGUCAAAUAGCUUUUGGAAAUGUUAGAAUUUUUGAACUUUAAGGUCAAACAUCUCGUAAACUAGGCGUUUGCGGUAUACCCUUUUUUAAUCAUGAGGACUUCCUCUUUCCAACAGGUACCGUCAAAUUGCAGCGCCAAGUAAAUCGGGAUUGUGCCUGAUUUGUUAACCAAUACCAACAAUUUCUUAUUAAAAAUAUGGGGAUUCAGACCAGCCUUGUUAAUUCGUUAGUCGCUAUUCGGUAGUUUUUUACAUGUAUUUUGUUUUCGUAAAAUUAAGAGACUAUCGUUCUACCGAGUAACGAACUAUCCAUCUGGCAAGCUUGAUAAUUGUUUCGUUACUCGGUAAUAUCACAUCAGCUGUUCUCCUGCUCCUCUAUACAUUAAUUUAAAGUACUUACCAGUAAUAAAUUUGAUCUGCUCCACAUCUCCUUCUUCUUAAUUGGCGUAGACACCGCUUACGCGAUUAUAGCCGAGUUAACAACAGCGCGCCAGUCGUUUCUUCUUUUCGCAACGUGGCGCCAAUUGGAUAUUCCAAGCGAAGCCACGUCCUUCUCCACUUGGUCCUUCCAACGGAGUGGAGGUCUUCCUCUUCCUCUGCUUCCCCCUGCGGGUACUGCGUCGAAUACUUUCAGAGCUGGAGUGUUUUCGUCCAUCCGGACAACAUGACAACGUGGAUGCACUCAGUCCGAAGUAGCAUCUCUUUGCAAGAGUAAUCCUGCAUUGGAUUUCCAGGCUGACAUUGUUGGUGGGGUUAAUACUGGUUUCUAAAUAGACGAAAUUAUCUACAACUUCAAAGUUAUGACUGUCAAUAGUGACGUGAGUGCCAGUCACGAGUGCGACGACUGUUUGUUUGUUGACAGGAGAUAUUUCGUCUUGCCCUCGUUCACUGCCAGACCCAUUUUCUGUCAAUAAAAUAAAUAAAAAGAUGAUAUCAAUAUCAUCAGCAUACGCCAGCAGCUGUACACCUUUAUAGAAGAUUGUACCUCUUCGGUUUAGUUCUCUAGCUCGAAUUAUUUUCUCCAGAAGAAGGUUGAAGAAGUCACACGAUAGGGAGUUGCCUUAUCUGAAACCUCGUUUGGUAUCGAACGGCUCGGUCAGAUCCUUCCCGAUCCUGACGCAGCUUUUGGUGUUGCUCAACGUCAGCUUACACAGCCGUAUUAGUUUUUGAGGACACCAAAUUCAGGCUUCGCGGCAUAAAGGCAGCUCCUUUUUGUGCUGUCGAAAGCAGCUUUGAAAUCGACGAAGAGGGGGUGUGUGUCGAUUCUCCUUUCACUGGUCUUUUCCAAAAUUUGGCGCGUGGUGAAUAUCUGGUCGAUUGUUUAUUUGCCAGGUCUAAAGCCACACUUAUAAGAUCCAAUCAGUUUGUUGACAGUGGGCUUUAAUCUUUCACACAAUACGCUCGAUAUAACCUUAUAAGCGAUGUUAAGGAGGCUUAUCCCACGGUAGUUGGCGCAGAUUGUGGGGUCUCCUUUUUUAUGGAUUGGACAUAGCACACUUAAAUUCCAAUCGUUGGGCAUGUUUUCAUCCGACCAUAUUUUACAAAGAAGCUUAUGCAUGCUCCUUAUCAGUUCUUUUCCGCCGUGUUUGAAUAGCUCGGCCGACAAUCCAUCGGCCCCCGCCGCUUUGUUGUUCUUCAGGCGGGUAAUUGCUGUUCGAACGUCUUCAUGGUCGGGCAAUGGAACGUCUGCUCCAUCGUCAUCGAUUGGGGAAUCAAGUUCACCUUCUCCUGGCGUUGUGCAUUCACUGCCAUUCAGCAGGCUGGAGAAGUGUUCCCUCCAUAAUUUAAGUAUGCUCUGGGCAUCGGUGCCUAGAUCAUCUCCUUGGGUUCUACAAGAGUAUGCUCCGGUUUUGAAACCUUCUGUAAGCCGCCGCAUUUUUUCGUAGAAUUUUCGAGCAUUACCCCUGUCGGCCAGCUUAUCAAGCUCUUCAUACUCACGCAUUUCGGCUUCAUUCUUUUUCUGUCUGCAAAUGCGUCUCGCUUCCCUCUUCAACUCUCGGUAUCUAUCCCAUCCCGCUCCUGUUGUGGUCGAUCGUAACGUUGCGAGGUAGGCAGUCUGUUUUCUCUCCGCUGCAACACGGCACUCCUCGUCGUACCGGCUGUUCUUUUGCACUUUCCGAAAACCAAUGGUUUUGGUUGCAGUUGAAUGUGAGGAGUUUAAAAUGCUGUCCCACAGUUCGCUUAUACCGAAUUGUUGACGAGUGCUCUGAGAGAGCAGGAGUGCAAGCCGAGUAGAAAAUCGUUCGGCUGUCUGUUGUGAUUGCAGCUUCUCGACGUCGAACCUUCCUUGUGUUUGUUGACGUUCGUUUUUUGCUGUACAGAGGCGGGUGCGAAUCUUGGCUGCAACAAGAUAGUGGUCCGAGUCGAUGUUAGGACCUCGGAGCGUACGCACGUCUAGAACACUGGAGACGUGUCUUCCGUCUAUCACAACAUGAUCGAUCUGGUUGGUGGCUAUUCGAUCCGGAGACAGCCAAGAAGCUUGAUGUAUCUUCUUCUGCUGAAAUCUAGUACCACAGAUAACCAUAUUUCGGGCCCCGGUGAAGUCGAUCAGCCUCAACCCAUUUGGGGAUGUUUCGUCGUGGAGGCAGAAUUUACCAACCGUAGUGCCAAAUAUACCUUUUUUGUCCACCCUGGCGUUAAAGUCGCCAAGCACGAUUUUGACAUUGUGGCGGGGGCAGCUAUCAUAAGCGACCUCCAAGCGCUUAUAGAAGGCAUCUUUGCUCACAUCGUCCUUCUCUUCCGGCGGGGCGUGGGCGCAAAUCAGCGAUAUGUUGAAGAACAAUCACCGGAGUGAAUGAUAGUACUCUUCGAUGGAGUCUCUCUCGCACCACGAAUCCAACACCAAACUUGCGCUUCUUUUAUGUGGCCACUGUAGUAAAUGUCACAAGGACCUACUCGCCUCUGUCCUUGUCCCGUCCAUCGCAUUUCUUCGACGGCGGUGAUGUCAGCCUUUAUUUUCGCGAGGACAUCAACCAGCUAGGCAGCGGCACCUUCCCAAUUAAGGGUCCGGACAUUCAAGGUGCAUGCCCUGAUAUCGUAGCCCUUAUUUCGUUUGCCAUGGUCGUCAUCAAAAGGGGGGUCUCUCAUCCGAGGCUUGUUGUUCCUUUUCAUUGGAGGUGUGUUUUACAAGGCGGGUCCCAAACCCAGCGCACAACCCUAUGUGGGAGGAUCUGCUCCACAUAAUUUUCAAUUAAAUGACUGACAAUUUUUGAUUGCACUUUGAUGAGGCAUUGAAUGAACUGUUUCGGAAUAAAAUUUAUCAUACUACAGAGGUAGAACAAAAAGUAUGUUCACAGUUAAGCCUUUUAACGAAGUAUCAACUAACGAAUUACCAAAUUAACAGGCUUCGGUCUGAAUACCCCUAAUGCUUAAUUAGCCUCUAAUCUCAGUUUGUUAACUACUAGUCAAAUAACAACUGAUGUUGGAAAUAUGUAAUCGACUAUUGCUUUCACUGAUACUUUGUUGAAUUGUCUUAUGAAUAUAAUAUUGAGUCUGAUAUUGAAAGUCAUCGUUUCGCUGUGAGACAGCGACACUUUUAUUGGUGCACCUCAUUCUUUCGUGUAGACUUCACAGUGGUACCAACAUUGAAAUCCAGAAAUAUGACGGUGCUGCCAUUUAUUUCCGUUAAGAGAUGUAUUUCUUAAACUCUACACUGUGAAUAGUAAAUACUAGUUAAUCAAUAGUUAACAUUUUAGUUUACCAACGGUUAACUAAAAGCUGUGAAUUCGGCCCUUAAAGUUAUACUUGUAAUUAGCGAUUUUUGAAAGUAUCGCGGACGCACUUCGUUAUGGUGCUAACAAAUAAAACUACCAUUCAGGACGGAGGUAACCAAUUCACAACUACAUUUGAAAAGGUUCACCUCUUAUACUACUACAUGUCCAUAUCUAACUUUUUGUUUUGAAAAGGAAAAUUCUGUUCUAAGAAUAGCAACAUUCAUCAUAUACAACUUUUGAAUGUGAAAGACGGAGAUGCACAUACUGACAAUGACACUUUUAAAAAUUGCCUUAAUUGAAUCGCCAUUCGAAGAAAAUUUUGAAGAGCGUCAGAACAGGAAAAAUCGAGGAACCAUUAUAUAUAUUUGAUAUUUGAAAUUUCAUGCAGCCACACAUAUUUCCUCGGCAAAUCUUAUAACUUGCACUGGCAGUCUUUGAACAAUUACGCCCGAGCUUCAUGGGACCAGUUGUAGAAUCCUUCAAACAUCUCAAUUCAAAUCAGCCAACAACUCUAACAUAUCCACAGGCUAGUUCGGUGAGUAAAAGCUUAAAGAAGCAGUUAGUAGCGUGGAUCGUGAUAGUUCGUGGAUCCUACGAAUGCAAUGCCACAAUUUGACCGUUAGAUUUGGGUGCGUCUCAGUGUGAAACACAUCGCGCUAUACCAAAGAUAGGCAAGCAAGAACAAACGCUACAGAAACGCAUUUUAGAGGAGGUACCCUCAAUAAGGAAAUGCGAUUGGACUCCGUGUUAUUUGAAAAUUUAGUUUUCAACAAUAGUGACAACCACAAAAUGGGCGUUCGAAUGGUUGAUUGGUGAUACGUGUUUACAGCAGGGAUUAGACACCUUGGCGAAAAGUUCGCGCAGAGUUUGGGUGAACUAUUUAUUUAUUUACUUAGUGUUUUUAUGUCCUUUGAGAUGACACUCAACACUUUCCAAUUUGCUGGUGCGUCGUCAAAUAAUGUAACAUUAUGUGUAUAUGAUAUGUUGUUUGUAAUUGCAGAUAAAAAUUGUGAUGUGCUUGAUUUUACAAAUAUAAUUUUUUUAAUUAUUCAAACAACACGGCAAAAAACCAAAGUUAGAAAUGAUUCGCCAAUAGUGGUUUCAUGAAAAGAUAUUAGAUUCAUCAAACAAAAAGUGGAAGGACUCUGAACACAAUUGUAGAAAAUGUGCGUCUCUUGGCGAAUAACAAUGCAUUGGUAGUGCCUUCGUCAGGAUACGAUCCAACAACACCAUGAAGAUUGUCAUAUGGGCGCUUUGAAGAAUACCAUUGAGAUGCUUGUAUGGGUUCUUUUCGCACAGACAACACACACCCAAUAAAUGCAUUUAAUGAAAAAAAUGCAUUAUCCGCCGGGAACUGGUACAAUAAUAUUAAUUGUUCGUUUAAGGAACAUGUAUAAACAAAGUAACUAUAAAAUGCUGUGUGCAGUCUUUGAACAACAAAUGUAACAUUUUGUACAGCAUUUGCCUACGAGCAAUUAACUACUUUCACGAAUGCUUUGAAGAAAUGAAUUAGUAUGAUUGGCACAAAUAGUCACGGCAUUGCGACAAGUCCGUCGGCGGAAUGCGUGAAAAAAGUGGUAACUACGGAGAGUCAACAAUAAAGUUUUCGGUGGUCCUGUCUUACCACUGUCUGGGAUUGCCAUCCUUCACUUAUACUAAGCCAACCACAAACAUGCGCGAACAAUUUCAAACUAAUCCAGUCUAAGACAAAUUCUAUAUAUUGGAAAUGGUAGAAUAGAACUGUAACCAAUACGCAGUUCAUCACGAAAAAAACUUGAUUAAGUGAGAGUAUUUCCUGAAAGUAAAAAUUAAUUGUGUGUAACAUAACUGGCUCAAUAAUCGGGCUGUAUUAUUAGUGUCUCUUGCAGAUUAAUAAUAAUUUGAAAAUGUUUAAAAUUAAAAAACUAUAAAUAUUAUUGUUAAAAAUUAAGAAUGAUCUACCAUCUUUCAUUAUCACAAGUGUUACCAAUUAACAGUAUUGAAAAUUAGUAAUUUUUUACAAGUUUAAUUAAAAAAAUAAAUAAAAUGAAAAAGUCAAUAUGUGGUAAUAUA